rnacentral:misc_RNA from 1 species
GUCACAGUGGUCACGGGGUAGAUCGUUCUGUAUCGUGUUUAAUGUAGUAUUAAACGCAGCUAUUGUGCCCUACCGUCCAUCGUGUUCACAAAUUUAUUUCCUCGCUUCCCGCUGUCCAUCCGCCUCUCCUUAGAAAAGAAAAAAAGCACGGACACGUGCCACCCCCGUUACGACGCAAAGAAAUUCGAAAGUAAUGUGAUUUCUCCCGUUUGUGUCCGUUUCUCGAGCAGGGACGGUCAUCGGUCUGCGUUUCAGUAGCCUUGCAUUUUCCACUAGCGAGGGAAGAAGAGAAAAAGAAUCAGAAAAAGAAAGAGGAAGAGAGAGAGAAAGAGAGAGAAAGAGAGAGACAGAGAGACAGAGAGGAACGUGGAAUGGUGGUUGGAAUCCUUCUGGAUGGUUGGACGAGUGUCGAGGAGGGUGUAUAAGUUGCGAGGGGGCGGACCGGCUGUCAACUAGUGUUUUAAAAGUUUGCGACAGUCUACAAAUUGGCUCGCUCAGUUCUUUUUAAAAGCACCACCAACCAACCACGUCGCGUACCCCACUGUGUCUGUCCUUCAUGUUCGCAGCCGUAUCGUUCAACGGAAAGCUUACGAAAGUUUUUGUUAGCGUCAAUUUAUACGUCGAAGAUAUAUCUUGUUAUCGAUAAUCACGUAAAUUGACGACGUCUCCGAGCUUAACAUAACUCUCGUGUAAGGAACACGAAAUUGAGAAACAUUUGCGCGGUGAAAGGAUAUUCUAGAAUAUUGUAAAAGUUGCGCUCGUUGGUGCGUUACUAUUCGGCGAACGCAAAUGAUCGCCUAGGAACGUGGUGAAACGCCCGAAAUAAAUCGUGAGAAGGGUCUUUUUCUAUCAGCUAUUGUACGCUCGAUCAUUAUUCUCGAGAGUUUCGAGAAAAGUUCCAACCAUUUUUGGACAAAUCGACUUCCAUCUAGGAGACGCCGGUCCUCGUAUGGGGAAUAUGCUUGCGCGCGAUUCAAAUCCCGGAAGUUUAAAAGUAUUUCGACGUAAAACGUGGCCAUUUCUCAAAUUUUCUAUGCAGCUACGCUCCGCCGUGGGCGCAUUUGAUACACUCUAUUAGUCGCAUCCCCGAACUGAUUUAUCGAGUUACCCGCAUUAUUAUACAUUUUCCCAGUUACGGGACCGAGAUUCAUCGUAUUCUGGUAGUUUGCCUGCUCUCCGCUCAUUCCAUUAGUUGCGAGUGAUCAAUGGUUAUUACGCGGACUUAAGAUUCGAAUCUUUUCUAGAAAUGGAAAUGUUUUGAAAGAAAAAAAAAAAAAAGAGAGAGGGGAGAAAGAAACAU